GAUGAAAGAACGUAGCGAAAUGCGAUAAGUAAUGUGAAUUGCAGAAUUCAGUGAAUCAUCGAAUCUUUGAACGCACAUUGCGCCCGCCAGUAUUCUGGCGGGCAUGCCUGUUCGAGCGUCAUUACAACCCUCAGGCCCCCGGGCCUGGCGUUGGGGAUCGGCGGAGCCCCCCGUGGGCACACGCCGUCCCCCAAAUGCAGUGGCGGUCCCGCCGCAGCUUCCAUCGCGUAGUAGCUAACACCUCGCGACUGGAGAGCGGCGCGGCCACGCCGUAAAACACCCAACUCUUCUGAAGUUGACCUCGAAUCAGGUAGGAAUACCCGCUGAACUUAAGCAUAUCAAUAAGCGGAGGA
rnacentral:misc_RNA from 1 species